rnacentral:lncRNA from 1 species
AUCAGUAGGUGUGUUGGAAUGUAAAAAUAUGUGGGCAUCAAGUUUAACAUGUGCACCCAGAGGAAUAAAACUGCUCUUUCUUUUUAAUAGGAUAGCAAGGGCACUGCUUUUGUGCAGAACCCUUUAUGUGCACGUAGGUGGGGUUUAUCCAAAACAAAGCUGUUUGUAAUGCACUACAUUUUUUUUUAAAAGGCAGCUGUGCCAGUCACGAUUAGGACAUCACAGUUGUAGGAAAUGCCAAUAGGCACUGAGCAUUCGCACAACCCGAGUUUUUGAGAGAGUGCAAAUGCUGACUGUACUGGUUAUUUCCAAUUGGAUUUAUUUCCACUCAAAAUGAUGCUUGCUUUGGUAGAAGUGCAAUGUGAAACUCCUGAAGGUUUUUUUUUUUUCCUCCAGUUUAUGCUUACCAGUACGCUUCUCUGGAGCUGGAGGAGAUUGUUGCUUAUUAACCUCUAGCUAGAGUUACUGUAUGUGCUACCUUUAGGUAGCAGAAUUGCUCAUAGGUCUGGCUAGCAACCACAGCUAUGCGGUGGAGUAGCACUCCGUUUUUGCAGGCAACAUGCCUACCGUGUCACCGAUUGACAUGUCUGGCGUGUCAAAGACCAGCGACAAACAUUGACUGUCGAUGAUUAGUGUUAAUUCAGUUCGCUGCAGCGGCGGUGUCAAGAAAUACAAAAACUGGCCCGAGCGUCAGCUUCUCCGCAAUGCAUGGUUGCUAGCGGCGUUUGGAAGACAGAUGUGCAGCUCUGUUACCUAGAGGUAGCAUAUACAGUAACUCUACCUCUAGCAGCAGUACCACCUGCCAGUGCAACAGAUCGUACUUGUGUUCUUAUGUGUUUGUUGCACAUCUGACUUCGUUGUCUGACGUACACUGCAUAUGACUGUGCCACUCCUACCCUGUCUUUGUGUCUCGCUUUAUGGAGGUGAGAGCAAGCAGGCACUAUUUCCUAGUGUUGCUGCACCUUUUAAGCUGUCAUACAUUUUGUUCAAGGAGAACAAUAACAAGCACUGUGCAACAUUUACCAGCGACUUUGUUAUCAGGGCAACUGUGAACGUAUGCCCACAACCUGUGGUCGAAGAUACAUUAUGUCAAAUCCCCCUCUGUACAUGUAUUCGCCUUGGGCGACCUUCCUAUAUUUUAUAAUAAAUGGAGAAAUGUUUGUUACA